UACGAAGGGGGCUAGCGUUGUUCGGAAUUACUGGGCGUAAAGGGCGCGUAGGCGGUGUGUCAAGUCAGGCGUGAAAGCCCCGGGCUCAACCUGGGAACCGCGCUUGAGACUGGCACGCUCGAGUUCGGGAGAGGAUGGUGGAAUUCCCAGUGUAGAGGUGAAAUUCGUAGAUAUUGGGAAGAACACCGAUGGCGAAGGCAGCCAUCUGGACCGACACUGACGCUGAGGCGCGAAAGCGUGGGGAGUAAACAGG
rnacentral:rRNA from 1 species